AGAGUUUGAUCCUGGCUCAGGACGAACGCUGGCGGCGUGCUUAACACAUGCAAGUCGAGCGGUAAGGCCCUUUCGGGGGUACACGAGCGGCGAACGGGUGAGUAACACGUGGGUGACCUGCCCUCAGCUCUGGGAUAAGCCUGGGAAACUGGGUCUAAUACCGGAUAUGACCACAUGUCGCAUGGUGUGUGGUGGAAAGUUUUUUCGGCUGGGGAUGGGCCCGCGGCCUAUCAGCUUGUUGGUGGGGUGAUGGCCUACCAAGGCGACGACGGGUAGCCGGCCUGAGAGGGCGACCGGCCACACUGGGACUGAGACACGGCCCAGACUCCUACGGGAGGCAGCAGUGGGGAAUAUUGCGCAAUGGGCGAAAGCCUGACGCAGCGACGCCGCGUGGGGGAUGACGGCCUUCGGGUUGUAAACCUCUUUCGACCUUGACGAAGCCUUCGGGUGACGGUAGGGGUAGAAGAAGCACCGGCCAACUACGUG
rnacentral:rRNA from 1 species